CCGGUUGAUCCUGCCGGACCCACCGCUAUCGGGGUGAGACUUAGGCAUGUUAGUCGUACGCCUCCCAGCCGUCGGGGGAGGAGUGGCUACGGCUCAGUAACACGUAGUUAACCUGCCCUCAGGACAGAGAUAACUCCGGGAAACUGGGGUCAAUGUCUGAUAGAUGAGGAAGCCUGGAAUGGUUCCCCUUCGAAAAGACGCUGGAACCGUGCUUCCAACGUCGCCUGAGGAUGAGACUGCGGCCGAUCAGGUUGUUGGUGAGGUAACGGCUCACCAAGCCUAUAACCGGUACGGGCCGUGAGAGCGGUAGCCUGGAGAUGGGCACUGAGACAAGGGCCCAGGCCCUACGGGGCGCAGCAGUCGCGAAAACUCUGCAAUACGCGAAAGCGUGACAGGGUUACCCCGAGUGCCGUCCGCUGAGGACAGCUUUUCUCUGGUGUAAUGAGCCGGAGGAAUAAGGGGAGGGCAAGACUGGUGUCAGCCGCCGCGGUGAUACCAGCUCCCCGAGUGGUGGGGAUGAUUAUUGGGCCUGAAGCGUCCGUAGCCGGCUCGGUAAGUCUUCCGUCAAAUCCAACGACCCAAUCGUUGGACUGCGGGAGAUACUGUCGGGCUAGGGGACGGGAGAAGCCGACGGUAUUUCUAGGGUAGGGGUGAUAUCCUAUAAUCCUAGAAGGACCACCAGUGGCGAAGGCGGUCGGCUAGAACGCGCCCGACGGUGAGGGACGAAAGCUGGGGGAGCGAACCGGAUUAGAUACCCGGGUAGUCCCAGCUGUAAACGAUGCAGGCUGGGUGUUGGAUUGGCUACGAGCCAAUCCGGUGCCGCAAGGAAGCUGUUAAGCCUGCCGCCUGGGGAGUACGGUCGCAAGACUGAAACUUAAAGGAAUUGGCGGGGGA
rnacentral:rRNA from 1 species